rnacentral:rRNA from 1 species
UACGUAGGGUGCAAGCGUUGUCCGGAAUUAUUGGGCGUAAAGAGCUCGUAGGCGGUCUGUCGCGUCUGCUGUGAAAAUCAGGGCUCAACCCUGGACCUGCAGUGGGUACGGGCAGACUAGAGUACGGUAGGGGAGAUCGGAAUUCCUGGUGUAGCGGUGAAAUGCGCAGAUAUCAGGAGGAACACCGGUGGCGAAGGCGGAUCUCUGGGCCGUAACUGACGCUGAGGAGCGAAAGCAUGGGGAGCGAACAGG